rnacentral:lncRNA from 1 species
AAACAUUGACAUUAAAUAGUUUAGAAAGAUAUGUAUUGAACAUCAAAAUUAAUUAAAUAUAUACUUAUAUCCUUAAGAACAUAAAAUGUCAUCUUCUAUAUUCUGAUAAUUAAACAAUUAACAUAAGUUAUACAGAUUAAAAAAUAUGCUAAAAUACUAAUUAUAAGUAGAAAAUGAAAAAGAAAAAAAGAAAACAGAAUAAUUAUAAGAAAAUGAAAAUGAGAUCGUGUGGUAUAAAGGAAACCAACUCAAUCAUUUUUCCAGUGUUACAUUAGCAUCACCUUUAUUAUUGUGAGAUCCUCAUAAUCCUAACAAACAUCUCAAUCUCAUCAAAACAAUACAAAAAACCCGAUCAUAAUCAUUGGUGAGGCAAGAAUAAAAUUGAAAAUAAGAGGAAACACAGAUGAAUAGAGUGACAAAAUAAACAAGUUAGAGAUGUGUAACCUUCAAAAGAUCAACCUAUAUCAGAAAUCACUUGAUCUGUACAUUUGAUAGAUAAGAAAGAAAAUUACUCAUAAAAGAUAGAAAAAAAAGGAAAAUAUGACAAUUUUUCAGCAGUACAUAUUUUUUUACCCUUUGUAUUUUGUUUAUACAAUCAUAAAGUGAUUAUGAACCAGAGAUUUCUAUUAAAUAAUGUAAGCUAAAUAUUUCUAUUAAGUACAUCCUCAAUUAUAUAAAUCAAUCAAACAUGUAAUGAGUAACAAACCUUGACAUUAAAUAGUUUAGAAAGAUAUGUAUUGAACAUCAAAAUUAAUUAAAUAUAUACUUAUAUCCUUAAGAACAUAAAAUGUCAUCUUCUAUAUUCUGAUAAUUAAACAAUUAACAUAAGUUAUACAGAUUAAAAAAUAUGCUAAAAUACUAAUUAUAAGUAGAAAAUGAAAAAGAAAAAAAGAAAAUAGAAUAAUUACAAGAAAAUGAAAAAGAAAAAAAACAAAAUAGAAUAACUACAAGAAAUUUAAAAUGAGACCGUAUGGUAUAAAGGAAACCAACUCAAUCAGUUUUCCAGUGUUACACUAGCACCACGUUUAUUAUUGUGAGAUCCUCAUAAUCCUAACAAAAAUUUCAAUCUCAUCAAAACAAUACGAAAAACCCUAUCAUAAUCAUUGGUGAUGCAAGAAUAAAAUUGAAAAUAACAGGAAACACAAAUGAAUAGAGUUAAAAAAAUAAACAAGUUAGAGAUGUAUAACCUUCAAAAUAUUAACCUAUAUCAUAAAUCACUUGAUCCAUACAUUUGAUAGAUAAGAAAGAAAAUUACUCAUAAAAGAUAGGAAAAAAAAGGAAAAUAUGACCAUUUUUCAGCAGUACGUAUUUUUUUACCCAUUGUAUUUUGUUUAUACAAUCAUAAAGUGAUUAUGAACCAAAGAUUUCUAUUAAUUAAUGAAAGCUAAAUAUUUCCAUUAAGUACAUCCCCAAUUAUAUAAAUCAAUAAAACAUGUAAUGAGUAAAAAUCAUUGGCAUUAAAUAGUUUAGAAAGAUAUGUAUUGAACAUCAAAGUUAAUUAAAUAUAUACUUAUAUCCUUAAGAACAUAAAAUGUCAUCUUCUAUAUUCUGAUAAUUAAAAAAUUAACAUCAGUUAUACAGAUUAAAAAAUAUGCUAAAAUACAAAAAUUAAGUAGAAAAUGAAAAAGAAAAAAAGAAAAAAGAAUAAUUACAAGAAAAUCAAAAUCUAAAAAAGGAAAUAGUAUAAUUACAAGAAAAUGAAAAUGAGACCGUAUGGUAUAAAGGAAACCAACUCAAUCAGUUUUCCAGUGUUACGCUAGCGCCACCUUUGGUAUAAAGGAAAUCAAUCUUCUAUACGAAAAAUGAAAAUGAAAAUGAGACCGUAUGGUAUAAAGGAAAUCAAUCUUCUAUACGAAAAACCCUAUCAUAAUCAUUGGUGUGCAAGAAUAAAAUUGAAAAUAAGAGGAAACACAAAUGAAUAGAGUGAUAAAAUAAACAAGUUAGAGAUUUGUAAGCUUCAAAAGAUCAACCUAUAUCAGAAACUAAUUGAUCUGUACAUUUGAUAAAUAAGAAAGAAAAUUACUCAUAAAAGAUAGAAAAAAAAGGAAAAUUUGACAAUUUUUCAGCAGUACGUAUUUUUUUACCCAUUGUAUUUUGUUUAUACAAUCAUAAAGCGAUUAUGAACCAGAGAUUUCUAAUAAGUAAGGUAAGGUAAACAUUUUUAUUAAGUACAUCCUCAAUUAUAUAAAUCAAUCAAACAAGUAACGAGUAACAAACAUUGGCAUUAAAUAGUUUAGAAAGAUAUGUAUUGAACAUCAAAAUUAAUUAAAUAUAUACUUAUAUCCUUAAGUACAUAAAAUGUCAUCUCCUAUAUUCUGAUAAUUAAAAAGUUAUCAUAAGUUAUACAGAUUAAAAAAUAUGCUAAAAUACUAAUUAUAAGUAGAAAAUGAAAAAGAAAAAAAGAAAAUAGAAUAAUUACAAGAAAAUGAAGAAGAAAAAAAGAAAAUAGAAAAAUUACAAGAGAAAAAGAAAAAAAGAAAAUAGAAUAAUUACAAGAAAAUGAAGAAGAAAAAAAGAAAAUAGAAAAAUUACAAGAAAAUGAAAAUGAGACAGUAUGUAUUAAAGGAAACCAACUCAAUCAUUUUUCCAGUGUUACAUUAGCACCACCUAUAUUAUUGUGAGAUCCUCAUAAUCCUAGCAAACAUAUCAAUCUCAUCAAAACAAUAUGAAAACCCUAUCAUUAUCAUUGGUGACGCAAGAACAAAAUUGAAAAUAAGAGAAAACACAGAUGAAUAGGGUGACAAAAUAAAAAAGGUAGAGAUGUGUAACCUUCAGAAGAUCGACCUAUCUCAGAAAUCACUUGAUUUGUACAUUUGAUAGAUAAAAAUGAAAAUUACUCAUAAAAGAUAGAAAAAAAAAGAAAAUAUAACAAUUUUUCAGCAGUACGUAUUUUUUUACCCUUUGUAUUUUGUUUAUACAAUCAUAAAGUGAAUACGAACCAGAGAUCUCUAUUAAAUAAUGUAAGCUAAAUAUUUUCAUUAAGUACAUCCCCAAUUAUAUAAAUCAAUCAAACAUGUAAUGAGUAAAAAACAUUGACAUUAAAUAGUUUAGAAAGAUAUGUAUUGAAUAUCAAAAUUAAUUAAAUAUAUACUUAUAUCCUUAAGUACAUAGAAUGUCAUCUUCUAUAUUCUGAUAAUUAAACAAUUAACAUAAGUUAUACAGAUUAAAAAAUAUCUUAGAGUAAUUUUGGAUUGAGUUUCAUGUUCCCUUAUAUAUCAGCAUUUAUUUAGAAUUUAUUUUUAAGUAUAUUUUAAUAUAUUUUCAUACGUCUUAAGUUGAUAAGUAGUGGUGAAUUAUAGAUUAUGGAUUAUUAUAGGUAUUCCUAUAUUACUGGAUGGAUGGUUAAAAAUCUUAAUUAAAUUAGAUUAAAGGUAUGGACAAAGCAUGGACUAACUCCCAAGACAUUGGAAUCUAUUGAAGACUCAGUUGAAGCUGGAACCAAGCAUUUCAAUCAUUGUUGGGGAAAGAAAAGCCGGUAGAGUGAGAUGUUAUGGAAGAACUGUCACACCAUCAUUGUUGAAAAAAAUGAAGAAAUUUCUUUAAUGAAAAUGCAAUGAUGGUAAGAUUUCUGAAUGGUGCAAAGAUGGAAGCAAUGGAGGAACUUUUGAAAAAGCAUGUAUAUGCAACAAAAUCCACAUUUAAGUGAAGAGGAAGUAGAUGAUAAGAUGAGAGAAGCUUUGCACAAUGAUAAUAUUCCAACACCACACUCAUCGCGACAUCAACAUAUGCUCCUACUCUCAUCAAAAGGUACUAUAAUUGACAUUAAUAAAAUCAACAUUAUUUUAUAAGUGUUGAGUUGUUAUUUUAUAGUUGUUUAAUUUUUUAAACAUGCGGUGUUAGUUUUAUAAGUUACUCAUUAAGUUAGUAUAUAUUCAUGCUAGCUAGGUUGAACAUUGUGACAUAUGUUCCAAUGCACAUUUUCAUUAUGUUUUUAAAAAAUUAACAUUGUAUAUUGGUUUGAUGGUAAGAUUCAUGUAUAAAUUGCAUAGAUUCGAGUUUGAUUCUAAGCGUGCAAAGUUCGUUAGUGAGUAAUAUAUAACUAUCAAUUGUUGUGGAUUGAAUCAUUAUUGCAUGGAUGUUGUAGUCAUUGAAGCCUUGCAAUGCCGCUUUGAUUAUUGUAAACUUUGUUAUUGAUAAAUAUAUAAAGAAAUUCUUCAUAUUAAGAGGUUAGAAACAAAGAUGAUCCUGACAAUGAACAAAUGAUGAUCUUCAAGAUGACGAUAAUCUUCAAUAUAAUCAAGAUGAUGAUGAUCUGUCAAUAUGAAUCAAGAGUGAUGAUGAUCUUCAAUAUGAUCAAGAUGAUAAUGAUCUUCAAUAUGAUAGUUUUCAAGAUGAUGAUUCUCCAUGGACCUCAACACAAUGAAUUGAUAAAGACCGCCAUUGAUUUAAAUAUUGACGAUUGUGUUUUGUUUUAUGGAUUUACAUAAAGCCAACUAGCUAUAACUUUUAUGCUGUGAUUUAUUUUGAAAUAUUUUGUAUUUUUUGAAUUUCAAAGAGUUGAUUACACUUCAUCUUAUUAAUACUUUCAUAUUUAAAUAUGUGUUUUCAAUUUAAAAGUGUGUUUCUUCUAAUAAUAUUGAAAAAUAUCUAUUAGAUAAUGUGAAGGUAUAUGAUCAUAAAUGUAUCACCAUAUAAAGGAACAAAAAUCUCUAUCUAAAUUAGUAUCGUUUCAAUCUAGUGCCCACAGGACAAUGUUUAAAUACUAAUAAUGUUUGCUUUUCAAAGUCUUGACGUUAUAUAUAAUUUGAUUGUUUUUUGCAUCUAUAGACAACGGCUUUUUAUGCGUUGCCUUAAUCAAAAACCGUAGUAUAUUCCUUUGUUUUAGCGGCGGUUAUGUGUGUUGUGUAAAUGAAAUUAUAGAUUGAAGCUACGGUUUACAUCUGUUGGUUAUUAAUAACCGUUGCCUUUCACAUGUUUAGGGGACAGUAUUUUAAUGUUGCUGACUUGAAACCGCAGCUUAAAGCAGUUCAACUAAAACCGUGGACUUUGAUAUUUAAGGCGAUGGUGUUCGAGAUCCGUAGGUAGAAUCAAAAAAACCGCCGCUGCUAAAUGGAAUAAGCAAUGGCUGUUAUUCAACGCUUGAUAAAACCGUCCCCUAAGAGCAUUAAAGGCAACGGUUUUAUACCGUUAAUGGGGGGCGUUUUAUUCGUUGUUGCCUAAAAACCCAUGUUUUUGGUUGUAGUGACAUUAAAUAGUUUAGAAAGAUAUGUAUUGCACAUCAAAAUUAAUUAAAUAUAUACUUAUAUCCUUAAGAACAUAAAAUGUCAUCUUCUAUAUUCUGAUAAUUAAACAAUUAACAUAAGUUAUACAGAUUAAAAAAUAUGCUAAAAUACUAAUUAUAAGUUGAAAAUGAAAAAGAAAAAAAGAAAAUAGAAUAAUUACAAGAAAAUGAAAAAGAAAAAAAGAAAAUAGAAUAAUUACAAGAAAAUGAAAAUGAGACUGUAUGUAUUAAAGGAAACCAACUCAAUCAUUUGUUAGGAUUAUUGUGAGAUCCUCAUAAUCCUAACAAACAUCUCAAUCUCAUCAAAACAAUACGAAAACCCUAUCAUAAUCAUUGGUGACGCAAGAAUAAAAUUGAAAAUAAGAGGAAACACAGAUGAAUAGGGUGACAAUAUAAGAAAGGUAGAGAUGUGUAACCUUCAAAAGAUCAACCUAUAUCAGAAAUCACUUGAUUUGUACAUUUGAUAGAUAACAAUGAAAAUUACUCAUAAAAGAUAGAAGAAAAAAAAGAUGACAAUUUUUCAGCAGUACGUAUUUUUUUUACCCUUUGUAUUUUGUUUAUACAAUCAUAAAAUGAAUAUGAACCAGAGAUUUCUAUUAAAUAAUGUAAGCUAAAUAUUUUCAUUAAGUAAAUCCCCAAUUAUAUAAAUCAAUCAAACAUGUAAUGAGUAAAAAACAUUGACAUUAAAUAGUUUAGAAAGAUAUGUAUUGAACAUCAAAAUUAAUUAAAUAUAUACUUAUAUCCUUAAGAACAUAAAAAAUCCCCAAUUAUAUAAAUCAAUCAAACAUGUAAUGAGUAAAAAACAUUGACAUUAAAUAGUUUAGAAAGAUAUGUAUUGAACAUCAAAAUUAAUUAAAUAUAUACUUAUAUCCUUAAGAACAUAAAUUGUCAUCUUCUAUAUUCUGAUAAUUAAAAAAUUCACAUAAGUUAUACAGAUUAAAAAAUAUUCUAAAAUACUAAUUAUAAGUAAAAAAUGAAAAAGAAAAAAAAAAAUAGAAUAAUUACAAGAAAAUGACAAAGAAAAAAAGAAAAUAGAAUAAUAACAACAAAUUUAAAAUGCGACUGUAUUGUAUAAAGGAAACCAACUCAAUCAGUUUUCCAGUGUUACACUAGCACCACCUUUAUUAUUGUGAGAUCCUCAUAAUCCUAACAAGCAUCUCAUUCUUAUCAAAACAAUACGAAAAACCCUAUCAUAAUCAUUGGUGAUGCAAGAAUAAAAUUGAAAAUAAGAGGAAACACAAAUGAAUAGAGUGACAAAAUAAACAAGUUAGAGAUCUGUAACCUUCAAAAGAUCAACCUAUAUCAGAAAUCACUUGAUAUGUACAUUUGAUAGAUGAGAAAGAAAAUUACUCAUAAAAGAUGGAAAAAAAGGAAAAUAUGACAAUUUUUUAGCAUUACGUUUUUUUUACCCUUUGUAUUUGUUUUAUACAAUCAUAAAAUGAAUCAUUUUUCCAGUGUUACAUUAGCACCACCUGUAUUAUUGUGAGAUCCUCAUAAUCCUAACAAACAUCUCAAUAGGGUGACAAAACAAUAUGAAAACCCUAUCAUAAUCAUUGGUGACGCAAGAAUAAAAUUGAAAAUAAGAGGAAACACAGAUGAAUAGGGUGACAAAAUAAAAAAGGUAGAGAUGUGUAACCUUCAAAAGAUCAACCUAUAUCAGAAAUCACUUGAUCUGUACAUUUGAUAGAUAAGAAAGAAAAUUACUCAUAAAAGAUAGAAAAAAAAGGAAAAUAUGACAAUUUUUCAGCAGUACGUAUUUUUUUACCCUUUGUAUUUUGUUUAUACAAUCAUAAAGUGAUUAUGAACCAGAGAUUUCUAUUAAAUAUUGUAAGCUAAAUAUUUAUAUUAAGUAAAUCCUCAAUUAUAUAAAUCAAUCAAACAUUUAUUGAGUAACAAACCUUGACAUUAACUAGUUUAGAAAGAUAUGUAUUGAACAUCAAAAUUAAUUAAAUAUAUACUUAUAUCCUAAAGAACAUAAAAUGUCAUCUUCUAUAUUCUGAUAAUUAAACAAUUAACAUAAGUUAUAUAGAUUAAAAAAUAUGCUAAAAUACUAAUUAUAAGUAGAAAAUGAAAAAGAAAAAAAGAAAAAAGAAUAAUUACAAGAAAAUGAAAAAGAAAAAAUGAAAAUAGAAUAAUUACAAGAAAAUGAAAAUGUGACCGUAUGUUAUAAAGGAAACCAACUCAAUCAUUUUUCCAGUGUUACAUUAGCACCAUCUUUAUUAUUUUGAGAUCCUUAUAAUCCUAACAACCAUCUCAAUCUCAUCAAAAUAAUACGAAAACCCUAUCAUAAUCAUUGGUGACGCAAGAAUAAAAUUGAAAAUAAGAAGAAACACAGAUGAAUAGAGUGACAAAAUGAGAGAGUUAGAGAUGUGUAACCAUCAAAAGAUCAACCUAUAUCAGAAAUCACUUGAUCUGUACAUUUGAUAGAUAAGAAUGAAAAUUACUCAUAAAAGAUAGAAAAAAAAAGAUGACAUAUAUAUAAAUCAUAAAAUGAAUAUGAACCAGAGAUUUCUUUUAAAUAAAGUAAGCUAAAUAUUUUCAUUAAGUACAUCCCCAAUUAUAUAAAUCAAUCAAACAUGUAAUGAGUAAAAAACAUUGACAUUAAAUAAUUUAGAAAGAUAUGUAUUGAACAUGAAAAUUAAUUAAAUAUAUACUUGUAUGCUUAAGAACAUAAAAUGUCAUCUUCUAUAUUCUGAUAAUUAAACAAUUAACAUAAGUUAUACAGAUUAAAAAAUAUGCUAAAAUACUAAUUAUAAGUAGAAAAUGAGAAAGAAAAAAAGAAAAUAGAAUAAUAACAACAAAUUUAAAAUGAGAUCGUAUGGUAUAAGGGUAACCAAUUCAAUCAGUUUUCCAGUGUUACACUAGCACCACCUUUAUUAUUGUAAGAUCCUCAUAAUCCUAACAAACAUCUCAAUCUCAUCAAAACAAUACGAAAAACCCUAUCAUAAUCAUUGGUGAUGCAAGAAUAAAAUUUAAAAUAACAGGAAACACAAAUGAAUAGAGUGACCAAAUAAACAAGUUAGAGAUAUGUAACCUUCAAAAGAUAAACCUAUAUCAAAAAUUACUUGAUCUGUACAUUUGAUAGAUAAGAAAGAAAAUUACUCAUAAAAGAUAGAAAAAAAAAGGAAAAUAUGAAAAAAUUUCUGUUGUACGUUUUAUUUACCCUUUGUAUUUGUUUUAUACAAUCAUAAAGUGAUUAUAAAUCAGAGAUUUCUAUUAAAUAAUGUAAGCUAAAUAUUUUUAUUAAGUACAUCCUCAAUUAUAUAAAUCAAUCAAACAUGUAAUGAGUAACAAACUUUGAGAUUAAAUAGUUUAGAAAGAUAUGUAUUGAACAUCAAAAUUAAUUAAAUAUAUACUUGUAUCCUUAAGAACAUAAAAUGUCAUCUUCUAUAUUCUGAUAAUUAAAGAAUUAACAUAAGUUAUACAGAUUAAAAAAUAUGCUAAAAUAGUAAUUAUAAGUGGAAAAUGAAAAAGAAAAAAAGAAAAUAGAAUAAUUACAAGAAAAUGAAAAAGAAAAAAAGAAAAAAGAAUAAUUACAAGAAAAUGAAAAUGAGACGGUAUGUAAUAAAGGAAACCAACUCAAUCAUUUUUCCAGUGUUACAUUAGCCGUCCCUUUAUUAUUGUGAGAUCCUCAUAAUCAUAACAGACAUCUCAAUCUCAUCAAAACAAUAAGAAAAACUGUAUCAUAAUCAUUGGUGACGCAAGAAUAAAAUUGAAAUAAGAGGAAACACAAAUGAGUAGAGUGACAAAAUAAACAACUUAGAGAUGUGUAACCUUCGAAUGAUCAACCUAUUUCAGAUAUCACUUAAUCUGUACAUUUGAUAUAUAAGAAAGAAAAUUACUUAUAAAAGAUAGAAAAAAUGGAAAAUAUGACAAUUUUUCAGCAGUACGUAUUUUUUUACCCUUUGUAUUUUGUUUAUACAAUCAUAAAGUGAUUAUGAACCAGAGAUUUCUAUUAAAUAAUGUAAUCUAACUAUUUUUAUUAAGUAUAUGCUCAAUUUUAUAAAUCUAUCGAACAUGUAAAGAGUAACAAACAUUCAUUAAAUAGUUUAGAAACAUAAUUAUUGAACAUCAAAAUUAAUUAAAUAUAUACAUAUAUCCUUAAGAACAUAAAACGUCAUCUUCUAUAUUCUUAUAAUUAAACAAUUAACAUAAGUUAUAAAGAUAAACAAAAAUGCUAAUAUACUAAUUAUAAGUAGAAAUGAAAAAGAAAAAAAAGAAAAAAGAAUAAUUACAAGAAAAUGAAAAAGAAAAUAAGAAAAUAGAAUAAUUACAAGAAAAUGAAAAUAAGACCGUAUAAAGGAAACAUACUCAAACAUUUUUCCAGUGUUACACUAGCAUCAGCUUUGUUAUUGUGAGAUCCUCAUAAUCCUAACAAACAUCUCAAUCUCAUCAAAAAGUACGAAACACCCUAUCAUAAUCAUUGGUGACGCAAGAAUAAAAUUAAAAAUAAGAGGAAACACAAAUGAAUAGGGUGACAAAAUAAUAAAGGUAGAGAUGUGUAACCUUCCAAAGAUCAACCUAUAUUAGAAAUCACUUGAUUUGUACAUUUGAUAGAUAAGAAUGAAAAUUACUCAUAAAAGAUAGAAAAAAAGUAAAAUAUGACAAUUUUUUAGCAGGACGUAUUUUUUUAACCUUUGUAUUUUGUUUAUACAAUCAUAAAGUGAAUAUGAACCAGAGAUUUCUAUUAAAUAAUGUAAGCUAAAUAUUUUCAUUAAGUAUAUCCCCAAUUAUAUAAAUAAAUCAAACAUGUAAUGAGUAAAAACAAUUGACUUUAAAUAAUUUAGAGAGAUAUGUAUUGAACAUCAAAAUUAAAUAAAUAUAUACUUAUAUCCUUAAGAACAUAAAAUGUCAUCUUCUAUACUCUAAUAAUUAAACAAUUAAAAUAAGUUAUACAGAUUAAAAUAAACAAGUUAGAGAUCUGUAACCUUCAAAAGACCAACCUAUAUCAGAAAUCACUUGAUAUGUACAUUUGAUAGAUAAGAAAUAAACUUACUCAUAAAAGAUGGAAAAAAAGGAAAAUAUGACAAUUUUUCAGCAGUACAUUUUUUUUACCCUUUGUAUUUGUUUUAUACAAUCAUAAAGUGAUUAUCAAUCAGAGAUUUCUAUUAAAUAAUGUAAGCUAAAUAUUUUUUUUAAGUACAUCCUCAAUUAAAUAAAUCAAUCAAACAUGUAAUGAGUAACAAACUUUGACAUUAAAUAGUUUAGAAAGAUAUGUAUUGAACAUCAAAAUUAAUUAAAUAUAUACUUAUAUCCUUAAGAACAUAAAAUGUCAUCUUCUAUACACUAAUAAUUAAACAAUUAAAAUAAGUUAUACAGAUUAAAAAAUAUGCUAAAAUACUAAUUAUAAGUAGAAAAUGAAAAAGAAAAAAGAAUAACUACAAGAAAAUGAAAAAGAAAAAAAGAAAAUAGAAUAUUUAUAAGAAAAUUAAAAUGAGACACUAUGUAUUAAAGGAAACCAACUCAAGUUAGAGAUGUGUAACCUUCAAAAGAUUAACCUAUAUCAGAAAUCAAUUGUUCCGUACAUUUGAUAGAUAAGAAAUAAAAUUACUCAUAAAAGAUAGAAAAAAAAAGGAAAAUAUGACAAUUUUUCAGCAGUACGUAUUUUUUUACCCUUUGUAUUUUGUUUAUACAAUCAUAAAGUGAUUAUGAACCAGAGAUUUCUAUUAAGUAUUGUAAGCUAAAUAUUUAUAUUAAGUAAAUCCUCAAUUAUAUAAAUCAAUCAAACAUGUAAUGAGUAAUAAACCUUCACAUUAAUUAGUUAAGAAAAAUAUGUAUUGAACAUCAAAAUUAAUUAAAUAUAUACUUAUAUCCUAAACAACAUAAAAUGUCAUCUUCUAUAUUCUAAUAAGUAAACGAUUAACAUAAGUUAUAUAGAUUAAAAAAUAUGCUAAAAUACUAAUUAUAAGGAGAAAGUUAAAAAGAAAAAAAGAAAAAAGAAUAAUUACAAGAAAAUGAAAAAGAAAAAAAGAAAAAAGAAUAAUUACAAGACAAUGAAAAUGCGACCGUAUGUAUUAAAGGAAACCAACCCAAUCAUUUUUCUAGUGUUACAUUAGCACCAACUUUAUUAUUGUGAGAUCCUAAUAAUCCGAACAAACAUCUUAAUCUCAUCAAAACAAUACGAAAAACCCUAUCAUAAUCAUUGGUGAUGCAAGAAUAAAAUUGAAAAUAAGAGGAAACACAGAUGGAUAGAGUGACAAAAUGAACAAGUUAGAGAUGUGUAACCUUCAAAAAAUUAACCUAUAUCAGAAAUCAAUUGUUCCGUGAAUUUGAUAGAUAAGAAAGAAAAUUAAUCAUAAAAGAUAGAAAUAAAAAGGAAAAUAUGACAAUUUUUCAGCAGUACGUAUUUUUUUACCCUUUGUAUUUUGUUUAUACAAUUAUAAAGUGAUUAUGAACCAGAGAUUUCUAUUAAAUAUUGCAAGCUAAAUAUUUAUAUUAAGUAAAUCCUCAAUUAUAUAAAUCAAUCAAACAUGUAAUGAGUAACAAACCUUGACAUUAAUUAGUUAGAAAAAUAUGUAUUGAACAUCAAAAUUAAUUAAAUAUAUACUUAUAUUCUAAAGAACAUAAAAUGUCAUCUUCUAUAUUCUUAUAAGUAAACGAUUAACAUAAUUUAAAUAGAAUAAAAAAUAUGUUAAAAUACUCAUUAUCAGUAGAAAAUGAAAAGGAAAAAAAUAAAAAAGAAUAAUUACAAGAAAAUGAAAAAGAAAAAAAGAAAAAAGAAUAAUUACAAGACAACGAAAAUGAUACCGUAUGUAUUAAAGGAAACCAACCCAAUCAUUUUUCUAGUGUUACAUUAUCACCAACUUUAUCAUUGUGAGAUCCUCAUAAUCCUAACAAACAUCUCAAUCUCAUCAAAAAAAUACAAAAAACCCUAUCAUAAUCAUUGGUGUUGCAAGAAUAAAAUUGAAAAUAAGAGGAAACACAGAUGAAUAGAGUGACAAAAUAAACAAGUUAGAGAUGUGUAACCUUCAAAAAAUUAACCUAUAUCAGAAAUCAAUUGUUCCGUACAUUUGAUAGAUAAGAAAGAAAAAUACUCAAAAAGAUAGAAAAAAAUAGAAAAUAUGAAAAAUUUUCAGCAGUACGUAUUUUUUUACCCUUUGUAUUUUGUUCAUACAAUCAUAAAGUUAUUAUGAACCAAGAUUUCUAUUAAAUAUUGCAAGCUAAAUAUUUAUAUUAAGUAAAUCCUCAAUUAUAUAAAUCAAUCAAACAUAUAAUGAGUAACAAACCUUGACAUUAAUUAGUUUAGAAAGAUGUGUAUUGAACAUCGAAAUUAAUUAAAUAUAUACUUACAUUCUAAAGUACAUAAAAUGUUAUCUUCUAUAUUCUGAAUUGUAAACGAUUAAUAUAAGUUAAAUAGAAUAAAAAAUAUGUUAAAAUACUCAUUAUAAGUAGAAAAUGAAAAGGAAAAAAAUAAAAAAGAAUAAUUACAAGAAAAUGAAAAAUAAAAAAAGAAAAUAGAAUAAUUACAAGACAACGAAAAUGAGACCGUAUGUAUUAAAGGAAACCAACCCAAUCAUUUUUCUAGUGUUACAUUAGCACCAACUUUAUCAUUGUGAGAUCCUCAUAAUCCUAACAGACAUCUCAAUCUCAUCAAAACAAUACGGAAAAACCCUAUCAUAAUCAUUGGUGAUGCAUGAAUAAAAUUGAAAAUAAGAGGAAACACAUAUGAAUAGGGUGACAAAAUAAAAAAGGUGGAGAUGUGUAACCUUCAAAAUAUCAACCUAUAUCAGAAAUCACUUAAUCUGUACAUUUGAUAGAUAGGAAUGAAAAUUACUCAUAAAAGAUAGAAAAAAAUAGAAAAUAUGACAAUUUUUCAGCAGUACGUAUUUUUUUACCCUUUGUAUUUUGAUUAUACAAUCAUAAAAUGAAUAUGAACCAGAGAUUUCUAUUAAAUAAUGUAAGCUAAAUAUUUUCAUUAAGUACAUCCCCAAUUAUAUAAAUCAAUCAAACAUGUAAUGAGUAAAAAACAUUGACAUUAAAUAGUUUAUAAAGAUAUGUAUUGAACAUCAAAAUUAAUUAAAUAUAUACUUAUAUCCUUAAGAACAUAAAAUGUCAUCUUCUAUAUUCUGAUAAUUAAACAAUUAACAUAAGUUAUACAGAUUAAAAAAUAUGCUAAAUACUAGUCUAUAAGUAGGAAAUGCAAGAGAAAAAAAUAAAAUAGAAUAAUUACAAGAAAAUGAAAAAGAAAAAAAGAAAAUAGAAUAAUAACAACAAAUUUAAAAUGAGACCGUAUGGUAUAAAGGAAACCAACUCAAUCAUUUUUCCAGUGUUACAUUAGCACCCCCUUUAUUAUUGUGAGAUCGUCAUAAUCCUAACAAACAUCUCAAUCUCAUCAAAACAAUACGAAAAACCAUAUCAUAAUCACUGGUGACUCAAGAAUAAAAUUGAAAUAAGAGGAAACACAGAUGAGUAGAGUGACAAAAUAAACAACUUAGAGAUGUGUAACCUUCAAAAGAUCAACCUAUAUCAGAAUUCACUUAAUCUGUACAUUUGAUAUAUAAGAAAGAAAAUUACUCCUAAAAGAUAGAAAAAAAAGGAAAAUAUGACAAUUUUUCAGCAGUACGUAUUUUUUAAACCUUUGUAUUUUGUUUAUACAAUCAUAAAGUGAUUAUGAACCAGAGAUUUCUAUUAAAUAAUGUAAUCUAAAUAUUUUUAUUAAGUGAAUCCUCAAUUUUAUAAAUCUAUCAAACAUGUAAAGAGUAACAAUCAUAAAGUGAUUAUGAACCAGAGAUUUCUAUUAAAUAAUGUAAUCUAAAUAUUUUUAUUAAGUGAAUCCUCAAUUUUAUAAAUCUAUCAAACAUGUAAAGAGUAACAAACAUUGACAUUAAAUAGUUUAGAAAGAUAUGUAUUGAACAUCAAAAUUAAUUAAAUAUAUACAUAUAUCCUUAAGAACAUAAAAUGUCAUCUUCUAUAUUCUGAUAAUUAAACAAUUAACAUAAGUUAUACAAAUUAAAAAAGAUGCUAAAAUACUAAUAAUAAGUAGAAAAUGAAAAAGAAAAAUAGAAAAUAGAAUAAUUACAAGAAAAUGAAAAAUAAAAAAAUAAAAUAGAAUAAUAACAACAAAUUUAAAAUGAGACCGUAUGGUAUAAAGGAAACCAACCCAAUCAUUUUUCUAGUGUUAUAUUAGCACCAACUUUAUCAUUGUGAGAUCCUCAUAAUCCUAACAAACAUCUCAAUCUCAUCAAAACAAUACGGAGAAACCCUAUCAUAAUCAUUGGUGAUGCAAGAAUAAAAUUGAAAAUAAGAGGAAACACAUAUGAACAGGGUGACAAAAUAAAAAAGGUAGAGAUGGGUAACCUUCAAAAGAUCAACCUAUAUCAGAAAUCACUUAAUCUGUACAUUUGAUAGAUAGGAAUGAAAAUUACUCAUAAAAGAUAGAAAAAAAAAAUGACAAUUUUUCAGCAGUACGUAUUUUUUUACCCUUUGUAUUUUGUUUAUACAAUCAUAAAAUGAAUAUGAACCCGAGAUUUCUAUUAAAUAAUGUAUGCUAAAUAUUUUCAUUAAGUACAUCCCCAAUUAUAUAAAUCAAUCAAACAUGUAAUGAGUAAAAAACAUUGACAUUAAAUAGUUUAGAAAGAUAAGUAUUGAACAUCAAAAUUAAUUAAAUAUAUACUUAUAUCCUUAAGAACAUAAAAUGUCAUCUUCUAUAUUCUGAUAAUUAAACAAUUAACAUAAGUUAUACAGAUUAAAAAAUAUGCUAAAAUACUAAAUUAAAUAUAUACUUAUAUCCUUAAGAACAUAAAAUGUCAUCUUCUAUAUUCUGAUAAUUAAACAAUUAACAUAAGUUAUACAGAUUAAAAAAUAUGCUAAAAUACUAGUUAUAAGUAGAAAAUGAAGAAGAAAAAAAUAGAAUAAUUACAAGAAAAUGAAAAAGAAAAAAAGAAAAAAGAAUAAUAACAACAAAUUUAAAAUGAGACCGUAUGGUAUAGAGGAAACCAACUCAAUCAUUUUUCCAGUGUUACAUUAGCACCCCGUUUAUUAUUGUGAGAUCCUCAUAUUCCUAACAAACAUCUCAAUCUCAUCAAAACAAUACGAAAAACCGUAUCAUAAUCACUGGUGACUCAAGAAUAAAAUUGAAAUAAGAGGAAACAUAGAUGAGUAGAGUGACAAAAUAAACAACUUAGAGAUGUGUAACCUUGAAAAGAUCAACCUAUAUCAUAAAUCACUUAAUCUGUACAUUUGAUAUAUAAGAAAGAAAAUUACUCCUAAAAGAUAGAAAAAAAAGGAAAAUAUGACAAUUUUUCAGCAGUACGUAUUUUUUUACCCUUUGUAUUUUGUUUAUACAAUCAUAAAGUGAUUAUGAACCAGAGAUUUCUAUUAAAUAAUGUAAUCUAAAUAUUUUUAUUAAGUGAAUCCUUAAUUUUAUAAAUCUAUCAAACAUGUAAAGAGUAAAAAACAUUGACAUUAAAUAGUUUAGAAAGAUAUGUAUUGAACAUCAAAAUUAAUUAAAUAUAUACUUAUAUCCUUAAGAACAUAAAAUGGCAUCUUCUAUAUUCUGAUAAUUAAACAAUUAACAUAAGUUAUACAGAUUAAAAAAUAUGCUAAAAUACUAGUUAUAAGUAGAAAAUGAAGAAGAAAAAUAUAGAAUAAUUACAAGAAAAUGAAAAAGAAAAAAAGAAAAAAGAAUAAUAACAAAAAAUUUAAAAUGAGACCGUAUGGUAUAGAGGAAACCAACUCAAUCAUUUUUCCAGUGUUACAUUAGCACCCCCUUUAUUAUUGUGAGAUCCUCAUAUUCCUAACAAACAUCUCAAUCUCAUCAAAAGAAUACGAAAAACCGUAUCAUAAUCACUGGUGACUCAAGAAUAAAAUUGAAAUAAGAGGAAACACAGAUGAGUAGAGUGACAAAAUAAACAACUUAGAGAUGUGUAACCUUGAAAAUAUCAACCUAUAUCAUAAAUCACUUAAUCUGUACAUUUGAUAUAUAAGAAAGAAAAUUACUCCUAAAAGAUAGAAAAAAAAGGAAAAUAUGACAAUUUUUCAGCAGUACGUAUUUUUUUACCCUUUGUAUUUUGUUUAUACAUUCAUAAAGUGAUUAUGAACCAGAGAUUUCUAUUAAAUAAUGUAAUCUAAAUAUUUUUAUUAAGUGAAUCCUCAAUUUUAUAAAUCUAUCAAACAUCUAAAGAGUAAAAAACAUUGACAUUAAAUAGUUUAGAAAGAUAUGUAUUGAACAUCAAAAUUAAUUAAAUAUAUACUUAUAUCCUUAAGAACAUAAAAUGUCAUCUUCUAUAUUCUGAUAAUUAAACAAUUAACAUAAGUUAUACAGAUUAAAAAAUAUGCUAAAAUACUAGUUAUAAGUAGAAAAUGAAAAAGAAAAAAAGAAAAUAGAAUAAUAACAACAAAUUUAAAAUGAGACCGUAUGGUAUAGAGGAAACCAACUCAAUCAUUUUUCCAGUGUUACAUUAGCACCCCCUUUAUUAUUGUGAGAUCCUCAUAAUCCUAACAAACAUCUCAAUCUCAUCAAAACAAUACGAAAAACCGUAUCAUAAUCACUGGUGACUCAAGAAUAAAAUUGAAAUAAGAGGAAACACAGAUGAGUAGAGUGACAAAAUAAACAACUUAGAGAUGUGUAACCUUCAAAAGAUCAACCUAUAUCAUAAAUCACUUAAUCUGUACAUUUGAUAUAUAAGAAAGAAAAUUACUCCUAAAAGAUAGAAAAAAAAGGAAAAUAUGACAAUUUUUCAGCAGUACGUAUUUUUUUACCCAAAUUAAUUAAAUAUAUACUUAUAUCCUUAAGAACAUAAAAUGUCAUCUUCUAUAUUCUGAUAAUUAAACAAUUAACAUAAGUUAUACAGAUUAAAAAAUAUGCUAAAAUACUAGUUAUAAGUAGAAAUUGAAAAAGAAAAAAAGAAAAUAGAAUAAUUACAAGAAAAUAAAAAAGAAAAAAAGAAAAUAGAAUAAUAACAACAAAUUUAAAAUGAGACCGUAUGGUAUACAGGAAACCAACUCAAUCAUUUUUCCAGUGUUACAUUAGCACCCCCUUUAUUAUUGUGAGAUCCUCAUAAUCCUAACAAACAUCUCAAUCUCAUCAAAACAAUACGAAAAACCGUAUCAUAAUCAUUGGUGACUCAAGAAUAAAAUUGAAAUAAGAGGAAAUACAGAUGAGUAAAGUGACAAAAUAAAUAACAUAGAGAUGUGUAACCUUCAAAAGAUCAACCUAUAUCAGAAAUCACUUAAUCUGUACAUUUGAUAUAUAAGAAGGAAAAUUACUCAUAAAAGAGAGAAAAAAAGGAUAAUAUGACAAUUUUUCAGCAGUACAUAUUUUUUUACCCUUUGUAUUUUGUUUAUACAAUCAUAAAGUGAUUAUGAACCAGAGAUUUCUAUUAAAUAAUGUAAUCUAAAUAUUUUUAUUAAGUGAAUCCUCAAUUUUAUAAAUCUAUCAAACAACAAUCAUAAAGUGAUUAUGAACCAGAGAUUUCUAUUAAAUAAUGUAAUCUAAAUAUUUUUAUUAAGUGAAUCCUCAAUUUUAUAAAUCUAUCAAACAUGUAAAGAGUAACAAACAUUGACAUUAAAUUGUUUAGAAAGAUUUGUAUUGAACAUCAAAAUUAAUUAAAUAUAUACUGAUAUCCUAAAGAACAUAAAAUGUCAUCUUCUAUAUCCUAAUAAUUAAACAAUUAGCAUAAGUUAUACAAAUUAAAAAAAUGCUAAAAUACAAAUUCUAAGUAGAAAAUGAAAAAGAAUAAAAGAAAAUAGAAUAAUUACAAGAAAAAGAAAAAUAAAAUAGAAUAAUUACAAGAAAAUUAAAAUCAGACCGUAUGUUAUAAAGGAAACGAACUCAAUCAUUUUUCCAGUGUUACACUAGCACCAACUUUGUUAUUAUGAGAUCCUCAUAAUCCUAACAAACAUCUCAAUCUCAUCAAAAAAAUACGAAAAACCCUAUCAUAAUCAUUGGUGACGCAAGAAUAAAAUUGAAAAUAAGAGGAAACACAGAUGAAUGGAGUGACAAAAUAAACAAGUUAGAGAUAUGUAACCUUCAAAAGAUCAACUAAUAACAGAUAGAUAAGCAAGAAAAUUACUCAUAAAAGAUAGAAACAAAAGGAAAAUAUGACAAUGUUUUAGCAGUACGUAUUUUUUACCCUUUGUAUUUUGUUUAUACAAUCACAAAGUGAUUAUGAACCAGAUAUUUCUAUUAAAUAAUGUAAGCUAAAUAUUUCUAUUAAGUACAUCCUCAAUUAUAUAAAUCAAUCAAACAUGUAAUAAGUAACAAACGUUGACAUUAACUAGUUUAGAAACAUAUGUAUUGAACAUCAAAAUUAAUUAAAUAUAUACUUAUAUCCUAAAGAACAUAAAAUGUCAUCUUCUAUAUUCUGAUAAUUAAACAAUUAACAUAAGUUAUACAGAUUAAAAAAUAUGCUAAAAUAACAUAAAAUGUCAUCUUCUAUAUUCUGAUAAUUAAACAAUUAACAUAAGUUAUACAGAUUAAAAAAUAUGCUAAAAUACUAAUUAUAAGUAGAAAAUGAAAAAGAAAAAAAGAAAAUAGAAUAAUUAGAAGAAAAUGAAAAAGAAAAAAAGAAAAUAGAAUAAUUACAAGAAAAUGAAAGUGUGACCGUAUGAUAUAAAGGAAACAAACUCAAUCAUUUUUCCAGUGUUACAUUAGCAUCACCUUUAUUAUUGUGAGAUCUUCAUAAUCCU